GGGGUCACCACGUUGUGGGGUGACGCCGUGUCGUGAGGCGGCGCCAUGUUGUGAGGCGGCGCCACGUUGUCCGGGGACUCCAUGAGAUGGUGCCGCGUUGUGAGUUUGAAAUAAGUGGAAAACAUGGACCUGUUGGAUGUGGGAUUAUGUUGAAACAGUACAGCAGGAGUCCAAAUGGGAGAGGAAAUCUGUGCACAACCAGUGCCACCACGAGAUAAAUAAGCAGCAGGAACCAGGAGGAGGAGGAUCUGAGGAGCUGUGACCUUGCAUUGCUCUUGCUCUACAUGGCCAACUGCCUGAACUGAACGUAUACCCUUGUAACUCCGGAAUCUGAUUCAAGUAAGAUUUCUU
rnacentral:lncRNA from 1 species